CAUCGAUUCUUGGAUCAUUUGAAUCCUCGAUUGAUUCUUUUAGCUAUAGGAAUUUUUUUCUCUAGUUUUGUAAUUUACUCAACUUUUUUGGGGGAUUCCAAGCAAUGACAAGCUGCGAUCUCCUUACAUCUUAGCUUCUUUCCCCCCUCUUUGGAUUGAGGGCUUGAAGAGCCGAGAGUGUUUACAGUGAAGAGAGUAGCCGGUGUACAAAUUAAACGUAGCCACUGGCCAGCGUUGCCUGCAGAUUUGACAGCAAUGCCAAACAAUCUCUUUUAAUUUCCCUUUUUAUUUUCCCGCGGUGAUCUCUAAUAGUAGGACCUGAGUCUGCUGAUCUUAGUUAUUAAUGGAUUUAUUUUCUUGGUGCAAGCCGAAUUUCUUUAAUUUUGGGAUUUAGUUAUAAAUGACUUAGGAUUAAACUUUCAUCAUCUGGCAUGUGCAAAGGUUUGUUAUUGUGGGGCAGGGAUUUUUUUAUUUUUAUUUUGCGAAUGAGCCAAAAAAAAAGAGCAGGAGGCUCAUAAGUGUUGUACUGGCCUCUGCCUCAGCUUAUUUAUCCAGGUCAAGCUCUCUGUGUCCCUAGCAGCAGAAACAAGGCGCAUUGCUUCUCUGUUGGCACCUUCAUUUCUUGGAAAAUCACCCCUUUCUUUGGACAAUGCUGUCCCUGUCCUUCAUGGUGUGCAUUCUCCUUAUUGCUGUACAGAUAAACUUCCAAAUAUGCAAUGCCACUCCCCUCGGGUGGCAGUCAGGUGAUGGAGUAGUGGUAUCGGCACACAGAUAACAUUUUGCAUCCAUGCUCUAUGGAGUUUGGUGACGUCUGAUCCACGCGCCUAAUUAGCACGCAAUGCCAGUUUUCAAGGCGUGAUAUUCGGGAGUUGUGGGAACCAGUGCUAGUAGUACUGUACUCCAUCAUUAUACACUUGAUCCCAGUAAAUCCUUGGCACUGAAAUACUUGCUCGGCCCUGGUAAAUUCUGUGCAGCUGAGCCAUGACUUGAUUUUCUUAUGUGACUUGCCACGCCCUUUUCAGUUAUUUUUCUAAAAAGGGAGAUGGCACUUUUGCCAUUAGCUAGUACACUUUAGUGCAAGUACUGGUACUACCUCCUUUUCGGUUUAUAGGGCUCAAUCAAAAAUCUCAUCAACCAAGGUAGAUGGUGAGUGGUGGAAUAGUUUUUAUAAUUUGCAAAAACACUCAAUUAAUGCACUCGUUUCCCUCAAAAAUUAUGUUUACCAAUGCAUUAAUUGCAAUGCAUGCAUGCAUGAAGUCCAUGCAUUGGUUAAUUUUUUCUUAAUACUUGCAUGCAAUGAUUUAAUGCACCUUGAAAUUUAAACAUGUGGUAGGGAACCAUCAAAUUGAGACUUAUAAAAUGAGAAAUCUAAAAUUUUGAGAUAAGCCCUAUAAACUGAAAAGGAGGGAGUACUACUGAAAGUUGUGUGCAUCAUAGGGCCAUCCUUUUGGUAAUAAAGUGACAUCCUCUCAAUAAUAAAAAUGCCAACCUAUUAUUAAUAAAAAAUGAUAUGCUCUUAGUAAUAAAAACCGCCAUGCCAUUAAAAACAAAAAUUUCAUCCUAAUAAAAUUGCCAUCCUCUUAAAAAAUGCCAUGUUAUUAAUAAAAACUGCCAUGCUAUAAAUAAUAAAAUUGUCAAGUUUUUUUGAGCGAAAAUAAAAUUGUCAAGUGAGAAAGCUAAAAAUAUUAGGAUUUUUGAACAAAUAUAAAAACAAAUUAGCAUCACNNNNNNNNNNNNNNNNNNNNNNNNNNNNNNNNNNNNNNNNNNNNNNNNNNNNNNNNNNNNNNNNNNNNNNNNNNNNNNNNNNNNNNNNNNNNNNNNNNNNNNNNNNNNNNNNNNNNNNNNNNNNNNNNNNNNNNNNNNNNNNNNNNNNNNNNNNNNNNNNNNNNNNNNNNNNNNNNNNNNNNNNNNNNNNNNNNNNNNNNNNNNNNNNNNNNNNNNNNNNNNNNNNNNNNNNNNNNNNNNNNNNNNNNNNNNNNNNNNNNNNNNNNNNNNNNNNNNNNNNNNNNNNNNNNNNNNNNNNNNNNNNNNNNNNNNNNNNNNNNNNNNNNNNNNNNNNNNNNNNNNNNNNNNNNNNNNNNNNNNNNNNNNNNNNNNNNNNNNNNNNNNNNNNNNNNNNNNNNNNNNNNNNNNNNNNNNNNNNNNNNNNNNNNNNNNNNNNNNNNNNNNNNNNNNNNNNNNNNNNNNNNNNNNNNNNNNNNNNNNNNNNNNNNNNNNNNNNNNNNNNNNNNNNNNNNNNCCUCCAUGGCGCACCUUGGUUGUGCACUUUUUGAAGAAAAAAACAAAGUGAGUGUUGGCUAGGAAGAGGCUUACAGCGAAUGCGUCCAGAAAACGUAUGGCAUCGGUCUUGUGCAAGAUACAUGCAAUGGCGGGGAAGGACUACGCUGGGGUUGGCCUCCUGGCUAUUGCUUGCCAGGGUUUUCCUCCCUCGUAUGAUUGUCCCCCUCCUCUCACUCACACAUGUUUGAGGAAAAAAUGGGGACGCAAUCCAUCAUUCUCAGUGCAUGUCUCUCGUGAAAAACUCGGAACACACCAUGCAUGUUUUGAUUCAUCGAUUGCGGCAACCGCCUACACCUCCCGCCUGUGCUACUCGGCAAGCUCCUCAUCAUGCUCCUGUCAUGGUUGCUCCUUCUCCUCGGGUCUGAGAGUGACAAUGGCGUUAAGUUGCGCGAGCAUCGGGACGAUGUUGGCUGCAUGCUGAGGUUAUGGUGAAUGAUGGUGGUAUGGAGGGUGUGGCACACGAUUAUUUAUGCAAGUAGUGAUGUCUUCAUAAUAAGUGAAGGAUUGAAUUUGUCUGGAAUAAAGACUAGAGCAGAAGUGAGCACUGCUUCUCUUUUCUUUAAGAGGGUUUUAUGUAAGUAAAUUUGAAAUGAUGGAUUGGACGAAGUGUGGGUGAUGGAUGGGUGUAUGUAUGACAUGUGCUUUCUAUGCAUAUGAUAUAUGUUUGUGACUUCAAAUUGCUUAUCUAGACAGAUAUUGUAAUGGAUUUAUUUAUUUAUUAGAUCUUUGACAUGAAUGCAAUUUGAUCUUAUUUCAAAACAAAACAAGAGUGUUGAUUCAGGCUGAUUGUGGUAGUUACAUGGUGGUCGACAAAGACAGAGAUGUUCAUCCUUCUUAUGAGGUGGUAAAAGAAUUAACUGCAUACUCAUGCUCAUAACAUAAGUCCUCUACAUCGACGCAUCAACAUAUAUAUUUUCACUCCGCAGCAGUACAUAUGUAUUUAGCUAGCAAACAAUUAUGUGAUAGAUUGUCAUAGUUGACUCCAUGGUGUUUUAGAAAAUAUGUUUAUGAUUUCUCUUUAAUUGAAAACUAUAUUUAUUAAGUGAAUGUUGCAAGAUAUAGUUUUGAUAUUAUUAUCGUGUUGAAAUACAUGGAAGAUAAAGAAUAAAAAGAACCCAACUAACGCGUGAAGGGCUCGUCGCAUGACAACCACAAUCACUGCUCACGUGUGUCGUGCUCUCAUCAUCAAGUUGAGUUGAUGCCAUAUGGUGUGAUCAGAUGGUGCAGGUCGGCGUCGCGUGAUGCGUCUUACAUGCGAAUGUUCGCAUUAUUUGCCAUAAAAUAAUAUGCAUCAGUCCUAUGAUUUGCACUCCUACUGUGUAGAUUCUCAUGUCCAAUUCAAUGACAAGAUUAACUCUGGUAACCUUGCUGCAAGUAUCUACAAUAAACAAAACAACGUCAACAGGAGUCGAAUCAACCACUUCCUGAACACUCUCAAUAGUUGCAACUUGCAAGAAAUUCACCUAAAAAUUCAUAGAUUCACCUGGAGCAAUGAAAGGAUGAACUCCAUGAUGAGGAAGCUUGGCUCUUUCUUUUGCAAUGCCGAAUAGGGCAUCCAUUUCAACACCCAUGUCAUCCACGCAUUCUCAACUUCACUCUCCGACCAUUGUCUCCUAUUGCUCGCUGAUGAUAGAGGACCCACAAGGGCAAGGGUGUUCAAGCUCGAAAUUUUUUGGUCCUCAAUAUCGGGUUUCACCAAGGUUAGGAGCAUCUAAGAGUUCUAGCAAAGAUCCAUCAAAGAUAAAGCAUGAUCACGGUCUGCGGAGGGAGGGGGCGGUUUGUCCCCCACCUCAACACAGUUGCGUCCUGUCAACUAGCCAUCUUGAUGUUAGCGUUGGAUGUGGACCAACUCUCGGCGGAGCCUGAUGCAAUGGUCAAGCUCUACCACCUCCGAACCUUUGGUGGGGUGGUCGCCCCUUCCAUGAUUUUGUAUGGAAGAGCAAGACGUCAUCUCAUAUUUUCUUCUUCCCAUGAUUGCUCGUUCAAGACCGGACCCACACCAGGAAUUCGUUGAUGAGGAAGCGCAUCAUCUACGCUGCCAAGGAUAGUUGCCCAAUCUUGUGCGGCAACGUCGGAUACUAGGGAUCACCUGAUCUUCCGAUGUCGUUUCGCCCAGAGAUUUCGAUCCUCUAUUGGGGUCUCAACUAAGUGCGGGGCUUAUGUUCAAACCUUGCAGGACGGCAAUCUCCCGUACACUGCCCUGUGGUGCUCAACGUUCAUGUUCAUUCUCCUUUGUUGCUGGUAGCCAUGGAAGCACCGCAACAGGGUUGUCUUCAACGAUGACCCCCCCUCUCAUGCCUUCUGAGCUUGAGCCAUGAGGACGCCAUCCUCUCGAAGUGUCGAUUACGUCUAUCUAAUAGGGAUGAUGUGGACACCUGGCUCGAUUGUUUAACUAUAGGCCAAGAUAUCUCCUCCUCCCCCCUCUUUCAUACACGCCCUUCUUGUAAAAACUUGGGUUUGUGCCCCGCAGGGAACUUCCAAAAGAAAAGAAAAGAUGAUCACACAAAGUUGUUUGUGUGUGGGUUGAUGAGCAAGCUUGCCUUUUUCUUUUGCAACGUCGAAUGGGACAACCAUUUCAAAACCCAUGUCAUUCACGCACUACCAACUUCACUCUCCGACCAUAGUCCCCUCGUGCUUGCUGAUGAUAGAGGACCCAUAAGGGCAAGGUUGUUCAAGUUUGAAUUUUUUUUGGGCCUCAAUGUCGGGUUUCAGCAAGGUUAGAAGCAUCUAAGAGUUCUAGCAAAGAUCCAUCAAAGAUAAAAGCAUGAUCACGGUCUGUGGAGGGGGCAACUUGUCCCCUGCCUCAACACGGCUAGGUCUUGUCAGCUAGCCGUCUUGAUGUUGGCGUUGGAUGGGGACCAACUCUCGGCAGAGCCUGAUGCUAAUGGUCAAGCUCUACCACCUCUGCACCUUUAGUGGGGUGGUUGCCCCUUUCCAUGAUUUCAUUUGGAAGAGCAAGGCGCCAUAUCAGGUUCGCUUCUUCGCAUGGUUGUUGGUUCAGGACCGGGCCCACACCAGGAGUGCACUGCUGAGGCAGUGCAUCAUCUCUGCUGCUAAGGAUGGUUGCCGCAUCCUCUACGGCUACCUGGGAGACUAGGGAUCACCUGAUAUUCCGAUGUCAUCUCGCCUAGAGCUUCUGGGCCGCUAUUGGGGCCUUAAUGGAGUGCGGGGCUUCUAUUCGAACCUUGUAGGACGUCAAUCUCCCGCCUACUGCCCCGCAGUGCUCGACGCUCCUGUUCAUUCUCCUUUGUUGCUGGUGGCUAUGAAAGCAUCACAACAGGGUUGUUUGCAAUGGUGACGCUAACCUCUCUCGUGCCUUCGAAGCUUGUGCCAUGAGGACGACAUCAUCUGGCAAUGUAGAUUACCUUGUUGCUUGAUUUUAUAACUGUUAGGCCAGGCUAGCUCCUACUUCCCCCUUUUUGAUACGCCCCCUUCUUGUAAAAACUUGGGUUUGUGCCCCAUGUACUUAAUAUACUAGAAUGAGGCCCUGCGAGUUGCUGCGGGAUGCAUGUUUAAUUCAAUGGUAUUUUCAUACUUCACUAAUACAUUCGCCUCGUGUGCUAAACAAUUAUAGAAAUGGUCUGAUGACCCCACCAGCUCCAAUCCUAAAAUAUAAUAAGGUUGCAAAUAUGGAGCGGUGUAAAAUGCUUAAAACCAAGUAGUGAAAAAAUCUAUAGAAAGGCACAGUAACAUCAUGCACAAUAUGGUGAUAUUGCUGGUUAAUUUUGUUUUCACCAGUGAAGAACCAUUGGCUGAAAGAUGAUGUGCGCACCCAUAUUCAGAAUACUUGAUAUGCGUCCCAGUCGAUGACCCUUCCACCUGCAGCCCCAAUGUCUUACUACUGCAAAUUUUUGCUUAAGAACAUUAGAUGCAAACUAUAUGACGUUUCAUUUACUUCGGCGGUAUCAGCAAGAAAUACACAUAAUUAGUUGAACUGAACCCUGCCGCUCUCACUCAAAUCAUUCAGGUCGUGAUAGGAGGAGGCGUCACAGUAGAGAAAUCUACAAAUAAUUCACACAAAUGUUCAGGUUGCCACCGUUCGCUGCAGACCACCCAAGUCCGCAACAAAUUGUUAUUCCUGAAUUUGCGGUGUGUCUGGCCCAUCCUCAUCAUUGCAUUCUGCGCGGCCUCCAUCGUGACUACCGAGGCGCCACGCUCAUCGCGGAGGCCAACACUGUCCUCAGCCUUCGAAGGCACGUGCAAACAACAUGAGUGCGGCAUGCUAAAUCUUCACAUCUGGCAGGCCAGGCUUAGACCGGCUGCGAUGGAGUGCGCACCGUCAAUGCUCAUGCAGGAAGUCGGUCGUGCGUUGGUGAUGGGGAUGUUCGUCAGCGACACGUGCGUCUCCGCCUGAUGUCGUAUGAUGCCAGAUCGUGCUCGGCCGGCUUCGACUUCUAUGUCUAGCCGCAAAGGAGUGUGCACCGUCGAAGCUCAGGCGGCCGAUCGAUCGUGUGCUGCUGAUGAGGAUGUUCAUCAACGACAAGAGCGCCUCUGUCUGGUGUCGUACAAUGCCAGAUCGUCCUCGGCCAGGUUCUACUUCUAUGUGAGGCGUACGUCGGUGACAUAGCAUUAGAAUUGAAGCCUUGGAAGGCUGGAAGUAUCAUAUCUAUCAAGGCACGGUCGCCAAGGAGGAAUAGGAGCUCCUUAUAUACGCAGACGAAGAAGAAGAGGAGUAGUGAAGAAUAUGAAGGUGAAGGGAAUUGAAGGGAAUUUAGUAUGGAUCAAACAGAUUGAGAGGGAAAUCAAUCGGUGGGGGUAACUGAAAAGAUAAAAAGAAAAUAAUCUCUACUAUUAAAGGAGAAUCGAACGUCGUGAUGGUUCGACCUCCUUCACUCCCCCGGUCUCGUUAGGUCCUCCCAUAGUACCACCUCCCUCGCACGAUUUCUCCGUAAAAAAAAUAUUAGCCACGACUGCCGCCCCUUUGUUCUCCCAACCCCUCGCUCCCGAUUCCCUCACGGCCUCACCCUCAUGAUCCACCCACGAUCUCCCCUCUCCACUCCCAACUCACCCGAUCGCAGGGAGUCUAACAAGCAGUUUCGUCUUCCACGGUUCCAUCCCAUCAGCCACCGCCGAUCCACUUACCCCGUCCCAUCUUCUUGCGGAUCUCCUCAUGGCCGCCGCAUCUCACCACCGCCACCAUCUCCCGUACAAAUCUUCGGCUCCAUCCCCCGUGUCUCCGCCUGCGUCGACUCCUCCUCCUUUGCGACAUGAACGGCGAUCGACUGGUUGACCAUUUCAUUCUCGCCGUCGGUGGCCGCCGCCCUGCAGCUGCUGUUCCGGGCGUGGAGCUCCCUCUCCGUGUCGCUGCUUAGAGGAGCGGUGAUGCUAUGCAUGGCCAUGUUGAUUAUGGUGCUCGCCCAGAUGGCCUUCCUCGGGACGGUUAGCGCCGCGGCGAAGAUGAGACAAGCCGCUGGCGGCGGCGGCGGCCGGCUAUUCUGCCUUGAGACAAAGAGGCUGGCGGCUCCGCGACCUGCUUCCCCAUGGUAAUGAGAGGUAUGUACUGUUGGAAAUAUGCCCUAGAAGCAAUAAUAAAUAGGUUAUUAUUAUAUUUCCUUGUUCAUGAUAAUAGUUUAUUAUCCAUGCUAGAAUUGUAUUGAUAGGAAACUCAGAUACAUGUGUGGAUACAUAGACAACACCAUGUCCCUAGUAAGCCUCUAGUUGACUAGCUCGUUGAUCAAUAGAUGGUUACGGUUUCCUGACCAUGGACAUUGGAUGUCGUUGAUAACGGGAUCACAUCAUUAGGAGAAUGAUGUGAUGGACGAGACCCAAUCCUAAGCCUAGCACAAGAUCGUGUAGUUCGUUUGCUCAGAGCUUUUCUAAUGUCAAGUAUCAUUUCCUUAGACCAUGAGAUUGUACAACUCCCAGAUACCGUAGGAAUGCUUUGGGUGUACCAAACGUCACAACGUAACUGGGUGACUAUAAAGGUGCACUACAGGUAUCUCCGAAAGUGUCUGUUGGGUUGGCACGAAUCGAGACUGGGAUUUGUCACUCCGUGUAAACGGAGAGGUAUCUCUGGGCCCACUCGGUAGGACAUCAUCAUAAUGUGCACAAUGUGACCAAGGAGUUGAUCACGGGAUGAUGUGAGUUACGGAACGAGUAAAGAGACUUGCCGGUAACGAGAUUGAACAAGGCAUAGGGAUACCGACGAUCGAAUCUCGGGAAAGUAACAUACCGAUAGACAAAGGGAAUUGAAUACGGGAUUGAUUGAAUCCCCGACAUCGUGGUUCAUCCGAUGAGAUCAUCGUGGAACAUGUGGGAGCCAACAUGGGUAUCCAGAUCCCGCUGUUGGUUAUUGGCCGGAGAACGUCUCGGUCAUGUCUGCAUGGUUCCCGAACCCGUAGGGUCUACACACUUAAGGUUCGAUGACGCUAGGGUUAUAGGGAAAGCAUGUACGUGGUUACCGAAUGUUGUUCGGAGUCCCGGAUGAGAUCCCGGACGUCACGAGGAGUUCCGAAAUGGUCCGGAGGUAAAUAUUUAUAUAUGGGAAGUCCUGUUUUGGUCACCGGGAAAGUUUCGGGUUAUAUCGGUAAUGUACCCGGACCACCGGGAGGGUCCCGGGGGUCCAGCAAGUGGGGCCACCAGCCCCAGAAGGCUGCGUGGGCCAAGUGUGGGAGGGGACCAGCCCCAGGUGGGCUGGUGCGCCCCCCCCACAAGAGGCCCAGGGCGCAGGAAAGGAGGGAAGGGGGAAACCCUAGGCUCAGAUGGGCCUAAGGCCCAUCUAGUGGGGCGCCCCCUCUCUCCCCCCUUUGGCCGCCCCCCAAGCCCCAUCUAGGGCUGGCNNNNNNNNNNNNNNNNNNNNNNNNNNNNNNNNNNNNNNNNNNNNNNNNNNNNNNNNNNNNNNNNNNNNNNNNNNNNNNNNNNAGACAUGAGAACGUCUCUCUUUCGGCGCAGCCCUACCCCUCUCCCUCCUCCUCCUCUCCCGCGGUGCUUGGCAAAGCCCUGCGGGAUUGCCACGCUCCUCCAUCACCACCACGCCGUCGUGCUGCUGCUGGAUGGAGUCUUCCCCAACCUCUCCCUCUCUCCUUGCUGGAUCAAGGCGUGGGAGACGUCACCGGGCUGCACGUGUGUUGAACGCGGAGGCACCGUUCUUCGGUGCUUAGAUCGGAAUCAACCGCGAUCUGAAUCGCUACGAGUACGACUCCCUCAUCCGCGUUCUGGCAACGCUUCCGCAUCGCGCUCUACAAGGGUAUGUAGAUGCACUCCCCUUCCCCUCAUUGCUAGAUUACUCCAUAGAUUGAUCUUGGUGAUGCGUAGAAACUUUUGAAUUUCUGCUACGUUCCCCAACAGUGGCAUCAUGAGCUAGGUCUAUGCGUAGUUUCUAUGCACGAGUAGAACACAAAGUAGUUGUGGGCGUAGAUGUUGCCAAUUCUUCUUGCCGCUACUAGUCUUAUCUUGUUUCGGCGGCAUUGUGGGAUGAAGCGGCCCGGACCGACCUUACACGUACGCUUACGUGAGACAGGUUCCACCGACUGACAUGCACUAGAUGCAUAAGGUGGCUAGCAGGUGUCUGUCUCUCCCACUUUAGUCGGAACGGAUUCGAUGAAAAGGGUCCUUAUGAAGGGUAAAUAGAAAUUGGCAUAUCACGUUGUGGUCUUACGUAGGUAAGAAAUGUUCUUGCUAGAAACCUAUACAAGCCACGUAAAAAACUUGCAACAACAAUUAGAGGACGUCUAACUUGUUUUUGCAGCAUGUGCCUUGUGAUGUGAUAUGGCCAGAAGAUGUGAUGAAUGAUAUAUGUGAUGUAUGAGAUUGAUCAUAUUCUUGUAAUAGGAAUCACGACUUGCAUGUCGAUGAGUAUGACAACCGGCAGGAGCCAUAGGAGUUGUCUUUAUUUUUUGUAUGACCUGCGUGUCAUUGAAUAACGCCAUGUAAAUUACUUUACUUUAUUGCUAAGCGCGUUAGCCAUAGAAGUAGAAGUAAUCGUUGGCGUGACAACUUCAUGAAGACACAAUGAUGGAGAUCAUGAUGAUGGAGAUCAUGGUGUCAUGCCGGUGACAAAGAUGAUCAUGGUGCCCCGAAGAUGGAGAUCAAAGGAGCAAAAUGAUAUUGGCCAUAUCAUGUCACUAUUUGAUUGCAUGUGAUGUUUAUCAUGUUAUGCAUCUUAUUUGCUUAGGACGACGGUAGCAUAAAUAAGAUGAUCCCUCCCUAAAAUUUCAAGAGACGUGUUCCCCCUAACUGUGCACCGUUGCGAAGGUUCGUUGUUUCGAAGCACCACGUGAUGAUCGGGUGUGAUAGAUUCUAACGUUCAAAUACAACGGGUGUUGACGAGCCUAGAAUGUACAGACAUGGCCUCGGAACACAUGCGAAACACUUAGGUUAACUUGACGAGCCUAGCAUGUACAGACAUGGCCUCGGAACACAAGAGACCGAAAGGUCGAACAUGAGUCGUAUAGUAGAUACGAUCAACAUGGAGAUGUUCACCGAUGAUGACUAGUCCGUCUCACGUGAUGAUCGGACAUGGCCUAGUUUGACUCGGAUCAUGUAUCACUUAGAUGACUAGAGGGAUGUCUAUCUGAGUGGGAGUUCAUUGAAUAAUCAGAUGAACUUCAUUAUCAUGAACAUAGUCAAAAGGUCUUUGCAAAUUAUGUCAUAGCUUACGCUUUAGUUCUACUGUUUAAGAUAUGUUCCUAGAGAAAAUUUAGUUGAAAGUUGGUAGUAGCAAUUAUGCGGACUGGGUCCGUAAACUGAGGAUUGUCCUCAUUGCUGCAUAGAAGGCUUAUGUCCUUAAUGCACCGCUCGGCAUGCUGGACCUCAGCAUCGUCUGUAGAUGUUGCGAAACAUUUGACAUACAUGUUUUGAUGACUACGUGAUAGUUCAGUGCGUAAUGCUAACGGUUUAGAAUUGUGGCACCAAAGAUGUUUUUGAAACGUCGCAGAACAUAUGAGAUGUUCCGAAGACUGAAAUUGGGAUUUCGGACUAGUGCCCACGUCAAGAGGUAUGAGACCUCUGACAAGUUUCUUACGCCUGCAAACUAAGGGAGAAAAAAACUCAAUCGUUGAGCAUGUGCUCAGAUUGUCUGAGUACUACAAUCACUUGAAUCGAGUGGGAGUUGAUCUUCCAGAUGAGAUAGUGAUGGUUCUCCAUAGUCACUGCCACCAAGCUAUUAGAGCUUCGUGAUGAACUAUAACAUAUCAGGGAUAGACAUGAUGAUCCUUGAGUAGCUCGCGAUGUUUGACACCGCGAAAGUAGAAAUCAAGAAGGAGCAUCAAUUGUUGAUGGUUAGUAAAACCACUAGUUUCUAGAAGGGCAAGGGCAAAAGGGAUACUUCAUGAAACAGCAAAACGCUUGCUGGUCUAGUGAAGAAUCCCAAGGUUGAACCCAAACCCGAGACUAAGUGCUUCUGUAAUGAGGGGAACGGUCACUGAAGCAGUACUACCCUAGAUACUUGGUAGAUGAGAAGGCGGGCAAGGUCGACAGAAGUAUAUUGGAUAUACGUUAUAUGAAUGUGUACUUUACUAGUACUCCUAGCAGCACUAGGGUAUUAGAUACCGGUUCGGUUGCUAAGUGUUAGUAACUCGAAAUAAAAGCUGCGGAAUAAACGGAGACUAGCUAAAGGUGAGAUGACGAUAUGGAAGUGUUUCCAAGGUUGAUGUGAUCAAGCAUCGCAUGCUCCCUCUACCAUCGAGAUUUGGUGUUUGCGUUGAGCAUGAUUGGAUUAUGUUUAUCGCAAUACGGUUAUUCAUUUAAGGAGAAUAAUGGUUACUCUGUUUAUUUGAAUAAUACCUUCAAUGGUCUUACACCUAAAAUGAAUCUCGAUCGUAGUGAUACACAUGUUCAUGCCAAAAGUAAUGAUAGUACCACAUACUUGUGGCACUGCCAUUUGAGUCAUAUUGGUCUAGAACGCAUGAAGAAGCUCCAUGUAGAUGGACCUUUGGACUCACUCGUUUUUUGAAAAGAUUGAGACAUGCGAACCAUGUCUAUUGGUAUAUAUGCAUGAAGAAACUCCAUGCAGAUGGAUUGUCUGGACUCACUUGAUUUUGAAUCACUUGAGACAUGCAAAUCAUACCACAUGGGCAAGAUGACUGAAAGUCCUCGUUUUCAGUAAGAUGGAACAAGAGAGCAACUUAUUGGAAGUAAUACAUUUUGAUGUAUGCAGUCCAAUGAGUGCUGAGGCAUGCAGUGGAUAUCGUUAUGUUCUUACUUCACAGAUGAUUUGAGUAGAUGUUGAGUGUAUUUACUUGAUGAAACACAAGUCUGAAUUAUUGAAAGGUUCAAGUAAUUUCAGAGUGAAGUUGAAGAUCGUCGUGACAAGAGGAUAAAAUGUCUGUGAUAUGAUCAUAGAGAUGAGUAUGUGAGUUACGAGUUUGGCACACAAUUAAGACACUGUGGAAAGUGUUUCACAAUUAAUACCGCCUGGAACACCAUAGUGUGAUGGUGUGUCCGAACAUCAUAACUGCACCCUAUUGGAUAUGGUGCAUACCAUGAUGUUUCUUAUCGAAUUACCACUAUCGUUUAUGGGUUAGGCAUUAGAGAUAACCGCAUUCACUUUAAAAGGGGCACCACGCAAUUCCGUUGAGACGACACCGUUUAGAGAAACCUAAGUUGUCGUUUCUUAAAAGUUUGGGGCUGCGAUGCUUAUGUGAAAAAGUUUCAGGCUGAUAAGCUCGAACCCAAAGCGGAUAAAUGCAUCUUCAUAGAAUACCCAAAAUAGUUGAGUAUACCUCCUAUUUCAGAUCUGGAAGCAAAAGUAAUUGCUUCUAGAAACAGGUCCUUUCUCGAGGAAAAGUUUCUCUCGAAAGAAUUGAGUGGGAGGGUGGUGGAGACUUGAUAAGGUUAUUGAACCGUCACUUCAACUAGUGUGUAGCAGGACACAGGAAGUUGUUCCUGUGGCACCUACACCAAUUGAAGUGGAAGCUUAUGAUAGUGAUCAUGAAACUUCGGAUCAAGUCACUACCAAACCUCGUAGGACGACGAGGAUGCGUGCUACUUCAGAGUGGUACGUGAUCCUGUCUUGAAAGCUAUGUUGUUAGACAACAAUGAACCUACGAGCUAUGGAGAAGCGAUGGUGGGCCCAUAUUCCGACAAAUGGUUAGAAGCCAUGAAAUCCGAGAUAAAUGGAUCUUUAAGAAGAAGACGAACAUGGACGGUAAUGUUACCGUCUAUGAAGCUUGACUUGUGGCAAAGAGUAUUUCCACAAGUUCAAUGAGUUGACUACGAUGAGAUUUUCUCAUCCGUAGCGAUGCUUAAGUCCGUCGGAAUCAUGUUAGCAUUAGCUGCAUUUAUGAAAUCUGGCAGAUGGAUAUCAAAAACAAGUUUCCUUACCAGUUUUCGUAAGGAAAGGUUGUAUGUGAUACAAUCAGAAAGGUUUUGUCGAUCCUAAGGAUGCUAAAAGGUAUGCUAGCUCCAGCGAUCCUUCCAUGGACUAGAGCAAGCAUCUCGGAGUCAGAAUAUACGCUUUGAUGGAGUGAUCAAAGUUUUUGGGUUUAUACAAAGUUUGUUAGAAACUUGUAUUUACAAUAAAGUGAGUGGGAGCGCUACAACAUUUCUGAUAAGUAUAUGUGAAUGACAUAUUGUUGAUCCGAAAUGAUGUAAAAUUUCUGGAAAGCAUAAAGGGUUGUUUGAAAGGAGUUUUUCAAAGGAAGACCUGGAUAAAGCUGCUUACAUAUUGGGCAUCAAGAUCUAUAGAGAUAGAUCAAGACGCCUGAUGAUACUUUCAAAGAACGAACACCUUGACAUGAUUUUGAUAGAGUUCAAAAUAGAUCAGCAAAGAAGGAGUUCUUGGCUGUGUUACAAGGUGUGAGUAUUGAGUAAGACUCAAGACCUGACCACAGCAGAAGAGAGAGAAAGGACGAAGGUCGUCCCCUAUGCUUUAGACGUAGGCUCUAUAGUAUGCUAUGUUGUGUACCACACAUGUAGUGUGCCUUGCCAUGAGUUGGUCAAGGGGUACAAUAGUGAUCCGGGAAUGGAUCACAUGACAGCGGUCGAACUUAUCCUUAGUAUCUAGUGGACUAAGGAAUUUUCUCGAUUAUGGAGGUGAAAAGGAGUUCGUCGUAAAGGGUUACGUCGAUGCGAACUUUGACACUAAUCCGGAUGGCUCUGAGUAGUAAACCGGAUUCGUAUAGUAGAGCAGUUAUUUGAAAUGGCUCCAAGUAGCGCGUGGUAGCAUCCACAAGAUGACAUAGAUAUUCGUAAAGCACACACGGAUCUGAAAGGUUCAGACCCGUCGACUAAUAACCUCUCUCACAAGCAUAACAUGAUCAAACCAGAACUCAUUGAGUGUUAAUCACAUAGUGAUGUGAACUAGAUUGUUGACUCUAGUAAACUCUUGGGUGUUGGUCACAUGGUGAUGUGACCUGUCAGUGUUAAUCACAUGGUGAUGUGAACUAGAUUAUUGACUCUAGUGCAAGUGGGAGACUGUUGGAAAUAUGCCCUAGAGGCAAUAAUAAAUAGGUUAUUAUUAUAUUUCCUUGUUCAUGAUAAUAGUUUAUUAUCCAUGCUAGAAUUGUAUUGAUAGGAAACUCAGAUACAUGUGUGGAUACAUAGACAACACCAUGUCCCUAGUAAGCCUCUAGUUGACUAGCUCGUUGAUCAAUAGAUGGUUACGGUUUCCUGACCAUGGACAUUGGAUGUCGUUGAUAACGGGAUCACAUCAUUAGGAGAAUGAUGUGAUGGACGAGACCCAAUCCUAAGCCUAGCACAAGAUCGUGUAGUUCGUUUGCUCAGAGCUUUUCUAAUGUCAAGUAUCAUUUCCUUAGACCAUGAGAUUGUGCAACUCCCGGAUACCGUAGGAAUGCUUUGGGUGUACCAAACGUCACAACGUAACUGGGUGACUAUAAAGGUGCACUACAGGUAUCUCCGAAAGUGUCUGUUGGGUUGGCACGAAUCGAGACUGGGAUUUGUCACUCCAUGUAAACGGAGAGGUAUCUCUGGGCCCACUCGGUAGGACAUCAUCAUAAUGUGCACAAUGUGACCAAGGAGUUGAUCACGGGAUGAUGUGAGUUACGGAACGAGUAAAGAGACUUGCCGGUAACGAGAUUGAACAAGGUAUAGGGAUACCGACGAUCGAAUCUCGGGCAAGUAACAUACCGAUAGACAAAGGGAAUUGAAUACGGGAUUGAUUGAAUCCCCGACAUCGUGGUUCAUCCGAUGAGAUCAUCGUGGAACAUGUGGGAGCCAACAUGGGUAUCCAGAUCCCGUUGUUGGUUAUUGGCCGGAGAACGUCUCGGUCAUGUCUGCAUGGUUCCCGAACCCGUAGGGUCUACACACUUAAGGUUCGAUGACGAGGGUUAUAGGGAAAGCAUGUACGUGGUUACCGAAUGUUGUUCGGAGUCCCGGAUGAGAUCCCGGACGUCACGAGGAGUUCCGGAAUGGUCCGGAGGUAAAGAUUUAUAUAUGGGAAGUCCUGUUUUGGUCACUGGAAAAGUUUCGGGUGAUAUCGGUAAUGUACCCGGACCACCGGGAGGGUCCCGGGGGUCCACCAAGUGGGGCCACCAGCCCUAGAAGGCUGUGUGGGCCAAGUGUGGGAGGGGACCAGCCCCAGGUGGGCUGGUGCGCACCCCCACAAGAGGCCCAGGGCGCAGGAAAGGGGGGAAGGGGGAAACCCUAGGCUCAGAUGGGCCUAAGGCCCAUCUAGUGGGGCGCCCCCUCUCUCCCCACUUUGGCCGCCCCCCCAAGCCCCAUCUAGGGCUGGCCGCACCCCUGGGGGGGGGGAACCCUAGAUGGGGGCGCAGCCCUCCCCCUCCCCUAUAUAUAUUGGGGUUUUGGGGCUGCCCAGGACAUGAGAAUGUCUCUCUUUCGGCGCAACCCUUCCCCUCUCCCAAGUCCUCCUCCUCUCCCGCAGUGCUUGGCGAAGCCCUGCGGGAUUGCCACGCUCCUCCAUCACCACCACGCCGUCGUGCUGCUGCUGGAUGGAGUCUUCCCCAACCUCUCCCUCUCUCCUUGCUGGAUCAAGGCGUGGGAGACGUCACCGGGCUGCACGUGUGUUGAACGCGGAGGCACCGUUCUUCGGUGCUUAGAUCGGAAUCAACCGCGAUCUGAAUCGCUACGAGUACGACUCCCUCAUCCGCGUUUUUGCAACGCUUCCGCAUCGCGGUCUACAAGGGUAUGUAGAUGCACUCCCCUUCCCCUCGUUGCUAGAUUACUCCAUAGAUUGAUCUUGGUGAUGCGUAGAAAAUUUUGAAUUUCUGCUACGUUCCCCAACAUGUACACACGCCUAGCUUGCUUAGUUAACACAGGUUGUUUAGCGUAAAGACGAUUGAUCGAACGACCUCAAGUGUUGAGAGAGUCACAGAGAUCGAGCUAGCUAAACUUUGAAGAGUAAGUAGUAGUUAAGAAUUUUGGAUGGAUUAAUCUCAUGUCGAUGAAAAUAGGUGUAUCAACUAUCGAUUGGGGGCAGCUUACAGGCUCACGUCGUCGGCCCACCGAUUAAUUGUGCAGGUCCUUUGACAAAUCGGCCGACCCGUCGCCAAGGUAGGUGCCAUUUCAAGUCUUCAAGUUUAUAAACGGUGCAUCUGCAUGCAUGCAGGAGCUGGUGAAGGAGUGUGAACAAUGGGCCAGGAGCGGCGUCGACGUGUGGUACGAGCCCCGCCAGGACAAGGUGUGGUAUGCCUACGCCCACCGCUGCAAGUUCGUUGCCAUCUUUGACGUAUCCUGCGCCGGAGUUCCUCGCCAACACCGCGCCGCUCCUCCUCCGCAACCCAGGCCUCACGCUCAUGCAGGCGUACUUGGAGUUCAGUACGUUCAGCUCCUGCCAAUUGCAUAUGCAUCCCUCGGAAGGGUGGUUGCCAAUUGUAAAAGCUGCUGCUAUAACUGUAUGUAGUGAACGAGUGCCUGCUGAUGAGGACGCAAGGGAUGUCCAUGGACUACCAUUUCAAGGUGGAGAAGCAAGCAUGGUCCUCACUCUGCUACUUCAAAUACAACUGGAGUCUCACAUGUGCUUGUUGACCCUAAUUUUAGGUCUUGGUAUUUAGUUUUGCUUGGUUUGUUUGGAACUAUAGGUGUUUGUCACAGGCAUGAGCCGGACUAAAGACAACAUGCAGUUAACCGCGAGUCAGACUAAAGAGUGAAGACAACAUGCAGUUAACUUAAGUAAGCGGAGACAAACAUAAAACAGUAAGGUACUUUGUUCCCAAUAUAUCUCAGAUGUUGAAAGAAUAUUAAAAGAGGUAAGACUUGUACCUGUACUAACAGUUUGAAUUGGCUCUUGGGAAUCUCUGAAAGUGAAAACCAUGAUGUUGAUAUAUCUGUGAUUGAUAGUUCGUGUGGUGCUGCACAAUGGUAUACAGACUUCAAUAAAAAGGACAAAAAUUGAAAAAUAUAAGAAUAGUUCAUCAUCUUUUGACUAAUUUUGAAUCUAGGCCAACAGUUCAACAUCUUCUUUCACAAGUUUUCAAAGAAACAAUUCGAAAUCUGCAGAUGAUCACUACAACGUCAAAUCCAGAUGCCCUUUGACAUCUUAUGGGUGAAACUGGAUUGUAAAAAGUAAAUCUUAUUAGCGAUGUCCCAACCCUCAAAUUGAUAUUUUCUAUACUGAUAUGCAGACUUCCAAAUUGGGAAAUUUUCGAUCGUGAUAUGAUUUGGAGAGUUGAUGCAUGAUUUCAGAUGGCUACCAAAUUGGAAAAAUUUCAACCUUCACCAGUAUAGAGGUAUUUCACACGUGCAGGUUUAAUUCCUGAUUGCAGUGCAUGUCAGAUUCAGUUUGUGCAUGAAAAGUCUGUAUAUGUGUAUACCAAUAAUGAUAACUUUGUUUUCAAAUUCAAAUGCACCUAUUGUCCGCAUGACAAGUGCGUGAAUAAAUUAGUAUCAUGUUGCCCACAUCAGGCUUAUAAAUUUUUUCUGAAUAAUGUGUAGAAAAUAUUGAUGUGUACUUCCCGCGGUGAGUGAGCCAGAGCGCAUGAGACGUAUUCUCAUAGCCUACCGCCACCAGUCAAGUACCAAGGUGGUUCUCGAUCGAUAUUGAGCAUGAUGAGUACUUCCUCUCUCGUCGUGUCGCUGAUACAGGCCCCAUCUGCAUGUGAUCUACUUUUUUUUGAUAGAUUGGAAAAGGAGAUGCUUUAAUAGGAAUAAAGGAAUCAGAAGAGCAUGACAGAGAAAGACAUCGAACGGGCAUAGUAGAAGAACCUUUCAUGCAAAUGUCAUUAUGUACAUUUUCGCUGUUAUAUGUUGAGAACCUGAAGAAUACACACACAUUUAUGUAUUUCGUAUGAUUGGAGUCCGUUCUCGUAAUUUUCUGUUAACCAGGCAUGUCGGUUGUCCACCUUAAUGUUCCUGUCAGUCUGAACUCAUCACAUGUUCUCGAUUUUCAGUCAUGCUUUCACCUUUGAUCUACAACUGUGUGAAAUCAAAACAUAUGUCUGAGGCUCAAUGUAAUGUUGAAACUUGGAGGUUAUCAAAUCAUAUGCUGUUGGGGCUGUAAGAGCUUAAACUAACUAUUGCAUACAUUUUGGAUCUAGAUUUACCCUUUGUAUUUGUCCAUGAUGAAGAAAAGGCGUACAUAGAGCUGGAUUUGUUAAGCUUCUCUAUCCACAAGGAGGUCAAAUGAUCCCUCCUGAGAAAGAGUCAGUAAACAUUCCUCUUUUGCAAGUCAAAUGUAUUUUGGUUUGGAAGUAGUAUAUGUUGUUUAAGAGGGUCUAUUUUCCAGAAAAAAAUGUUAUUCUCUUGUUUUUAUACACAAAAUUUUGCCACUUCAUGUCGUUCAUGUUUCCUUUUAGUUAGUUGUGACCAAUAUUGCUUAAGUUCCCUUUCAACAAACUAAUUGCCAAAAAAGCGAUGAGAAGAAUUUUUGAUUCAUUUAAAAUAUAUAAUAUAUAAUACAAGAUUUUGAAAAGAGGGCUCACACUGUGGCAAAAAAGGUGAAGGGAAAGAAAUGGCAAUGAGAAAAAUAUCGCUUUAUCUUCUUAAUAGGAGUGAGUGGUUAAAGAGACACGACAAUUGCCUAUGAAGGAAGAAGCAGGAGGGAAGAAGCGUAGAAAUCCAAAUCACAUAUUGUCAUGUUCGACGCACAAUUUUUAAUUAAAAUAAUUAUUUAAUAACUAUGCAUUUUGUUGCUCCAUGGCAACGCAUGUGCAUUCAGCUAGUACCUUGUAACGUUGGUAAACUUGUUAAAAAUGUAAGAUAUGAAAAGGGCAACGAUUUGGGUGGGGUUUUCUCUUUGUGUGGGUCAGCCAGUGCAUUGAAGUAGCAGAAUGAAUUAAAUUUAAAGAGGUGGCUGCGUGCAGUUAAAUUCGAAAUUCGGUGGUAUGAUGGCCCCUUUUUGUUUUGACGCGGCGAUGCAAGUGGUGCUACUCCAAAUGUAGGGCAGUCACAGUACUGGCACGAGCGUAACUCACGUGACGCCAAUCUAAUUACUGUGCUGAAACCCCUGGGCCGGCCUGCUGGCUCGCUGCAUCGUCUGCACCGGCAACUGCAAGUACAGGGCUGGCUUGAAUGCCGUUCCCGAGACGAGAGGCGAGCCUGUCCCCGCCCUCCCGGGCGCCCGCCUCUGUCCUCUGCCCUGUCCUUUACCGCCAGCCAGCGCACCACGGGGCUGCAUGCGAUGCCAGCCAGGGAAUUUCGCCUCGCCGAGCAGGGUAUGCGAUGCAUGUAGGAGUAGGAGACGCAGGCGGCCGGCCAGGGUUUCACGUGCCCCGCCCGCGGACGGAUACAUUCCCCAUCAUUUCUCUGCUUGCAGCGGAUGGAUGCCGCACGUGCUGCCAGGCAUGCGAGGGAGGGAGGGAGCAGGCCAGCCGCCAGCGAGCGAGCGCGACGCUUUCCCCCUGGCCCGGCGACAGCGCGGCGGCCACCGCCGUGUGACGACCGACGAGUGACGGCGACUCUCCGGUCCGGUGGUGAUGCGUCGACCUAGUACCUAACAUGACACCAUCCGUUUCAAGUGUGCAUCGGCUGGACAUUCCUAUAUAUUCACGCUACCAUACUCUACCAGCAAAGAUCGAGCAAGCAGAAACAAACCCAACCGUACCGUACGAGCCAAAGUCAGCCGUCUCACCAUCGGCUUGCAUCUGCACGAUGACGACGAUGCAUGCGGGCGAACUGGCGAUCGCUGUAGCGCGUGCCAAAAAAGUCCGGCGAGCCGGACAGGCGAUGUAGCUAGCUCCACACCCUCUCCGCUCCUACGUGCCGCGUCGCCGGUGACAGCACCGAACCGGAUGGAUGGGGACAGCAGCCUCGUUUCCCCAUGACCUUCAAGUGUACGUAAGAUCCAAGCUCUCGUGGCUGCACCCCGUUACUGUAGCCUGAUCUGUACGCGGCAUCCACAUCCACUGGCUAAAGCUCUGCAUGCCAUCGUGCAGUGACUCGGUUACACGUACGUACGUGUACCUAUGCGAUCGACCACCCUGGACUGGACAAGAAACAUCAGUUUUAAAAAAACCUUGGGAUUGGAAAAGUACGUACCUGCAACUACAAGUAUAGCCAUGCAUGUAUAUACGACUAAACAAAUAAACAUGGGAGCAUCUGAUUAGCCACAGCCUUUGCAGUCAGCACCACAUGAGAUGAGGGUGAGAUUCUGAGGCCUCAUGAUCGAUCCCAAGAGGCAAGGGUCGCCACAAACAUCCACAGGGUUUACAUAUCACUAAUGCAUAUACAUACCCAUAUUUAAAGCGCCCUUUGAUCUGAUUGUGCAGGAAUAUUCAGACUGCCUGUAAAGGCCACACCACCACCUCCCGCCCUGCAAGCUAGCUAGCUGCAGCUGCAGGACAAAGAGAAUAUAAAAGACUGGAUGAGCAGAUUAGCCGGUAGUUUAAUCCAACCCGUUCAGCUUAAAAGCACAUAUGAGAGGCUGAGAACACAUGGUGAAGCUUAUUUUAGUGCCGGCACUGAACUGGCAGUCAAAGAAUAUUGGCCAUAAAUCCAGCGAUCCGUACGUGCACGCUCUGCUAGCUCCCCGGCCCCUGUUAAUCGAAUUGUUAAUUGUUAAUCAUGCAUGCAUGCAUGCAUGGGAACUUGCGCAUGCAUGUUCUAGCUAGUUCCUCCCGGUUUCUGCAUGCUGGGUAGCUAGCUAAUCCAAGAUGCUCAUGCUCCCCGAUCAGCCACGGGGAGGUUGGCUGCGUCCGCGCCAAAUGACCCCAGCUAGCCCUCGAAUAAUUAAUCGGCCGGCCCAUUGGCAGCCUAACGGGCCGGUAAAGCACGUAGAGGCCGUACGCACCCACAAAGUGACUGCAAUAAUUUUAUUUUUUUGAAACUAAGUGACUGCAAUGAUGAUGGUGAUGAUCUAUGUACAGAUUAAUCUGGGGCGACUUGCACUUUAAUCAGACACCGGCUAAUUAAGCUCGCUAGAUAGCACUUGAAUGCUGCGUACUAGUUAGUAGUCUGUUAGCGGCAGUACUAUGUGCUGGGUUGGUGCAUGGCAUGAUGCAUGUUACUAGCUAGGAGCUGGAGUUCGCGUAUAGUACAACGAAUAUGUGCGGUUAGCGCGCUCUAAGCUGGCGGCAGCUAGCCAGUCGAGUGGAUGCUGAUGCACAUGCAUGCAUGCAAAGUACUCCCUCCGUUCCUAAAUAUAAGUCUUUCUAGAGAUUCCAAUAUAGACUACAUACGAAGCAAAAUGAGUGAAUCUACACUCUAAACUAUGUCUAUAUACAUCCAUAUGUAGUUUAUAUUGAAAUAUCUAGAAAGACUUAUAUUUAGGAACGGGGGGAGUACUUGUGCGUGUGUUUUGGAGUUAGACAGGCCGUCUCUGUCGGGAGCGAGCGAGGUAGCUAGCAAGCAAUGCCGGCCGUCCGUCGAUCGGCGCCCGCCAGCACUGGCCAGUGCACGAUGCGCCCGUGGGCGGUGCAUGGAUGGACCGGACCGGCCACUCCCCGGCCCGCGCGCCUAACGCACGCGUGCUCAUGCAUGCGCCCCGCGCGACCAGCCAGACUAGAUUGGUGUGGUGUGGUGUGGUGGCUGCCAGCUACGGGCGGCGUCGUCCUGGCCCAACCCAACCCAACCCAGCCCCAACGGAACAGAACAGCUCAACGAUUCCACGCCACGGAGGAGGACCAUGUCCAUGCGCGCGUGCAUGCAUGGACGGACGGACGUAGGCGAGCGGCCAAUGGCGCGGCGACAGGCGCGGCGGCACCGGGCGCGCGACGUACCGACCGGCGGAUGGGCGGUCGGUCGCUCGAUGAUAAAGGCCAUGCACGGGUCACCGCUCGGCCGGUGAUGUAUCCGCUCCGCCUGCGCCUGCGUGCCGUGGGGGUGGGGAUCCGCGCGCACAUGCACCAAAAGAUCGCCUGGUGGGGGUCUGUCUGGGGACUCCACUCCUCUUGCUCUCGCCCGCGCGCGCGCAAAGCCCCCAGCGGACUACGAGAGUGACGCAGCGUCUAACACAUGCAUGGUGGCCUGCCCUGCCAUGCAGCAGGACUAGCUCCAUCCAUUGGUCGAUCGACAACCUGUAACGCGAGGACGAUACGUAUGACACGCAUGCACGCAUCAUGGCGCUGUACUAAUAAGCUCGUACGUACGCACGCACGCCUGGGGUGUGUCUUAUCGCGAUCGAUGGAUGCCCUCCCUCCGUAUUGAGCGAGGACGAUAUGGUGGCCUGCCCUGCCAUGCAGCAGGACUAGCUCCAUCCAUUGGUCGAUCGACAACCUGUAACGCGAGGACGAUACGUAUGACACGCAUGCACGCAUCAUGGGGUGAUGCGAUGACAUGGACGAAUCGAGGUUUCAGUCGGUUUCACGAGAACCAGCCCAGCCCAGCCCAGGUAGUACGUACGUACGUACGUACGUCGUCGUGGCAUUUCCAGCAGGGCGAUCGAACUUAUUACUACCAUUUACCCAGUGCAAAGCAAGGGAAAAGGUUUGUCGCACGCCAAUGAUGAGCGAGCUGUGAGCCCGGCCGGGGUGACGGCAUCAAUGCGACAGGCCCGCACGAGCGGGCUGGUGCGCCGCGCUUCGGACCAUACACACACUUACGUGUCGGCAUCCGGCAGGCCGACCGACCGUGUCCUCUCCUCUCCUCUCUCGCCCACUUUCCACUGCAUCCCCCACCGCCCACGCGCGCACCAGAGCGCCUCCCCGUCCGUCCUCCCCCUGCGCCAGAGCCAACACCAACAGCCAAGCACAUCAACUAACUAGUGAUCCAUCAAUUACCCAAACGGGCGCCACGCAGACUGGAUCUAUCCCUCCCCCACCCCCGGCCGCCCAGCCACCAACCGGCGAGGCCUCCCGGACGUACGUACCAGCGGACAGGACUGUGGUGGCUCCGAGGGACCAUGCAUGAGCAUGAGCAUGACACGAACGCAUCAGUGCCACUGGCGGUGGUUACGCUAUAGGGGAGGGAGGGUUGCUUAAGGCUUGGGUAGCUAGGGACCCGUCCAUCCACCCAUGGAUUUGGAGUUAAUGUCAUUGGCAGCUAACUAUAGUAUGUUGCUAGUGCUAGCUGUGCCUGAUUAGCAGCAGAGCACGGCGGCACUGUUGGCAUGGCCAGAGGCCCCAGCUCAGCCGUGUCGUGCCCUGGGGGAGAGGAGCACUGCAGAGCACCCGAUGAUUUGACCCGGGGGCCGUGUCGCCUGCGCCCCGCCUAGCUAGCUGCUGCAUCCAUGCCCCGCCCCCGCUCCCACGCCCGCUGCAUGCGUCGCGUACGUGCGUCCAUCUCAUCGCUCGAUCCACCGCGUGACCAGCCAGCGCUGGCGCACCUCGAUCCUGCUCUGUCCCACGGUCUGUAGCCAUCUAGUCUAGAUUAUUACUCCUCCUCCUCCUAUAUACUGUUCCCUGGGCAUCCGACGGUGCCUUGGCUCUCUCAACACUGUAGCGUUGUGCGCCAACUUUACUUGCCCCUUGUAGCUCCUCAUAAGCUGGAUGCCCGGCCUGGCCGCACUAGAUUAUUGCUCACUCCCCUCUCUCCAAAACAUGCUGCCCGAGUGAGUAUAUGCCUGCAGGGUGAAGUCUGUUUUGAACCCUGAGAGGGUAGUGAGCGUCCGAAACGAACCCUGAAGUCCAAAUCCCUGAAGUCCGUGUCCUGUAGUCGCUGAUCCCGGAUUUAUUUGACCUUUAGUGCGUAUUAGGAGGGGAUUAGCCGACGUGGCACCGUGGGGCGGUGGGUUUGCUACUUUAAACGCCACGUCGACUCAGCCACACAUCUUCAGAAGCACUCGAAGCGGGGAGGGGAACCAAAUUAGGGUUCAGGCGAGGGGAAGAGAGUGGCGACUGGCAGGCGAUUGGCGGCGGAAUCGAUGAUGUCGUCGGCGUCGCGUGGCUCAUCUGCUUCUCGCGGCGAAGGGAUUCGCCGGAGAGGCGCAGCAGCAAGGUCCCCGGUGCCCUAUCGGGAGGAGCCCAUGGAGUACGAGCCGGCGAUUUUUUGCCCCAAGUGCGGGAAGAAAGCGCCGCGGUGGAUUUCCUGGAGUCCGGCGAACCCUGGAAGAAGGUACUAUGCAUGCGUUGAAGCUCGGGUAUGCUCUGAUCUGAUGUGUUCUUGCGCUCGUGCUUUCUUCUCUGAUUUGCUCUGUUUUUUGGUAUGCCCUCUGACGAACAUUGCCGAUUGAACAGCACGGCUUCAUUCAGUGGCAUGAUGGGCCUACAACUGAAUUUUUGCGUCGAUUGCUGGGAGAUCUUCGAGAUAGAGUGUGGAGGCUGGAGGAGGAUGUUGAUGCACUGUUAAAUGAAGGAGAUUCACGAGCUGCUGCUUUAACCGAUGGAGUGAUUGGAGGAAAUGAAAAAAUUGCAUCAGUUAGUGAGAAAUGUGUUAGCAGAGAGAUGUUGUUGUAUGGCAUUGUGCUAUUUCUGUCUGGUAUGGUGUUAGGGAUGAUUUUAGGCUAGUGAAUCAGUUAGUAGUGAGUUGGAGGCACUGUACUGAAUUUAGAGCAAUGUAAUGGUAUUUGAGACAAGUUUCAAUGCAAUUCUGUUUGAAAAAAAAUUCUUUUAAUGAGAUAUGCAGUGCCAUUGCUCUCUUUUGUGCACUUUGUAGAGUAAAUUUUGACAGAAAAAUGAGGAAAUAUGUAUGAAAUGUUGAGAGUUUGCUGUCAAAAGGAAUACAAGAUCAUCUUGACAGAUUUCUGUCAAAAUGUUGAGAGUUCAGCAAAAUAUAACCACAUUCUAACAUGGUUUUUCACCCAACAACAAAAUAUCAUGCAAAAAGAACAAUUCAAAAGUUCCCACUUGCUGUGAAGAAGGGCAUGAACCCUCUGACACUGCUUGUUCCCGUUCCUCUCCCUGUAGCACUGGUUGUUGCUGUUCCUCUCCCUCUCUUUGCUCCUCUGCCCCUGCCAGUAGAAGUGCUGCCUCCAGGUGCAUCAUUUGCAGUGCUUGUUCCUGGUCCUCUCACUCUCUUUGCUCCUCUGCCCCUGGCAGUAGUUGUGCUUCCUCUAGGUGCAUCAUUAGCUCUAGGAGGCCUGAAACUUGUAUUUGCAGGUUGAGAGCUUGAACCUGCUGCUGACUGAAAGCUUUGAGGAGCUUGUGUCCUUCUUGCAGGUUGUGUAUUUGCUGUCCUGCUUUUUAAUGCCUCGGUCUGUGCUUCCUGCAACCCAGUAACAUAGCAUGUAGUGUUAUAAUUGUUUGCAAAAAAGCAACAUACAGUGCAAUAAUUCAAUGCAAAAACAGAGCAUAUAGUGUUGUACAGGAGUAAAUUACCUCUGUUGCUCUAAGUUUUUUCCCUCUCUUAGCAAGAAAUGCCUUUGUUUUUUUGUUUCUAUCUGGAUUAUUUUUGCAAGAACCUUUGUUGUGUCCCUUGGCCCCACAACACCCACAAGUUAUCUGAAUGCCAUGUUUGCUCAAUUUCUUGCCCUUGGAUGCUUCCCCCUCUUCUCUUUUCCUGUCAUUUCCUGUCAAUUUCUUUCUUGCUCCUGGCAUGGCAAUAUAGCCAGGUGCCUCUGGCCUAGGGUUUUGAGAAACUGGCCAGUUUUCUUCACCUUCUACUGGUUGUAGGCAAUGCUCGUAUAUCUUGUUGAAAGUCUCAAUAUGAUAGCACUUGUGAAUGUAAUCUUCUAUUUUUCUGCCACUUUUGUAGAUAGCACUAAUUGCAUGGCAACAAGGGAGGCUUGCUAGCUGAAAGUAGCCACAUGAGCAUGUCCAUUUGUCAAGGUUCACUGUGUAUCUUUUUCCUCUGCCCUGCAAGUGUUUGACCUCAAAUCCUUCCUUGCCAUUCCAAAGCACCUCAAGAAACUGAGUUCUCUUAAUGCUGACCUUUAGUUUCUUGAACACACCAGGGCAAAUUGUUCCAUUCCAUCUAGCACUUUUGCUUCUCUGUUCCUGAAUUCUGACAAAGACUUUAUUCCUUAUCUUCUCUUGCUGUGAAUGAUAGGGUAGUACCUUGCUUCUAAAAUGGCAUUGUUGAAUGACUCGCAGAGGUUAUUAUCAACAGACUCACAGUUUGCUCCAACUAGAAAAAAUGACCUAGCCCAAUGCUUAGGCUCUGUUCUCAUGAUGUCUUUGGCACCUUCUGGAGUUUUUUGAGCUAGCCUAGCCUUGUUAUAGUUGAAAUCCUCCUUGUUGCUAGACUUAGCAAUUGCCCAGAACCUUUUCUGCAAUUCAUGAUCUCUAUGCUUCUUUCUCCAAUUGGCAUAUAUAUGCCUAGCACACAUCCUAUGCUCUGCCCUAGGCAAGUAAUCUCUCACACUGUUAAGCAACCCCUGCAAGAGUGGCACACAUGUCAAUAAGGAUGGCAAGUUUAGUUGGCGAGCACGACAAAUGAUCAAGCUAGGUGAAGUUCUUAAAGGAUGGCAAGUUUAGUUGGCGAGCACGACAAAUGAUCAAGCUACGUGAAGUUCUUAAAGGAUGGCAAGUUUAGUUGGCGAUCACGACAAAUGAUCAAGCUACGUGAAGUUCUUAAAGGAUGGCAAGUUUAGUUGGCGAGCACGACAAAUAUACCUUUUGCUGGUCAGAAAUGAAAACCCAUCCAGCUCCUUCAUUAUUAAUGUCCAAGUCUUUUAUUAGAAGCCCAAUGAACCACUUCCAGCUAUCAGUUGUUUCUUUCUCCACUACUGCCCAUGCAACAGGAUACAUCUGGUUGUUAGCAUCCCUAGCUAUGGCAGCAAGUAGUUCACCUUGGCAUGCUCCUUUGAAAAAGCAUCCAUCAAGCCCAAUGACUUUCCUGCAACCAGCUUUAAACCCUUGCUUCAGUGCAUGAAAACAUACAUAGAAUUGCUGAAAAACAUUGUUCUCCAUAUGUGUAGGAUCCAAGCAAACAGCCACUGUACUGCCAGGGUUGCUCCUAAGCAACUCUAAUUGGUAGUCAAAUACCUUGGUGUACUCACUCUUCAUGCCACACAAUAACUUGUCCAUUACAAUUUUUUUUGCAGCCUUACACUUUGAAGUUGACACAUCAGCAAACAUGUCUUUCAGUACAGUUGCUUUAAUGCUAUCGAUCUUCCACAUUGGAUUGGCCAAUAUGAAGUGCUCAUAUCUCUGUGCUAUGACCUUUGCAGUAACUAAUCUAUUCUCUCUGUUUUGUGCACACUGGUGGUCAUCAUCAAAGGUUAUUAUUUGAAACCUUGAGCAUCUGGUGGUCUUUGCUGCAUAGACUACCCAUGGACAACCAGGCCAUCCACAUUCAACCCUGACCCUGGUCCCCUCUGACUUCUUGAAUCUCAUGCUUCUUUUGGUAGCAAGACCAUAUCUUUUCACUGCCUUGACAAACUGAUUUUUGCUCCUGAAAACCAUGCCCAAACUGAAGUGUGGUAUAUCAGAAUCUGGGUUAAACCUUGGGUAUUUGCUCUUGCUUCUCACCAUGUUCCCAUCACUAUCUUCAUCAUAACUAUAAUCUUCAUCAGAUGACUCAAAUUCCAUGUCCUCUACCACCUCCUCAACAUUUGCAAUGAAAUCAAUUGGUACUGCCCCUGUUGCAUCUGAUUGAACCCAUUUUCUAGAGUCUUUCAUUUUCUUUCUAAAUUUCCUUGCAUGUUUUCUCAUCUCAACUACUUCUGAAUCUUCUCCACUGUCAUCAGUGUGAGGCACAUAUUCAGUGUCCUCUGAAUCUUCUGAAUCUGAGUCUUUCUUUGCAUUUUCUGCCGCUCCUUGCUCUGCCUCUAGCACUGUUGCUUCCACAUUUGUUGUUGCUCCUUGCUUUGACCCAUGCUGUGUUGCUCCAUCCACAUCUGCUGCUGCUUUAGUAGACUGAGACUCAUCUGGAUUCAACACUUGAGAACUCUGAGAUGCUUGAGAUGGACCACCUGUUGCAUUUCUUCUCUUUAAGGGGCUGCUAAUUACUGCAGUGACAACACCAUUGUCAUUAGGAACAAGCACCUGCUCAAGUAAAUUUUGUUCCAGACCUGCAUUGCCAGUGUCAUCAUCUUCUGCACCUGCAUUGACAACAAUGUCUUCAUAUUCUGCAGUCAUAACAGCAGGAAAAUCCUCAUCACUUGCAUAAUACUGAAUUUCAUCUGCAAAAUCAGAGCCAUUGUCAUCUUCUCCUACUGAAUCUUCUUCCCCAUUGUAUUCCACAUAUAUAUCAGCUACUCCACCAUCAGUAAUAUACUCUGACAUUUUCAGGCAACCCUCAUCAUCAUACAAAAACAGUAGGCCAUUCACCAAAUCUCUGCCAGGCAAAAGAAAGUAGAACUUCAUGCUUUCCUUGACAACCAUAUGAUCCUUAAGAAAGCCCUUCACCUCCUGCAAUGAUAACUUGUCCCUCUCAAUCUCUGAGUAGGCCACUUCCCCCCCAACNNNNNNNNNNNNNNNNNNNNNNNNNNNNNNNNNNNNNNNNNNNNNNNNNNNNNNNNNNNNNNNNNNNNNNNNNNNNNNNNNNNNNNNNNNNNNNNNNNNNNNNNNNNNNNNNNNNNNNNNNNNNNNNNNNNNNNNNNNNNNNNGAUGAAAUCUGACAUUCAAUAUCUCUGCUGGGUCCAUGGAUUCAGCAAAAAGCACCUACAUUGCAUCGAUUUCAGAGGAUUAACACACUAUACUGCAAGAUUGGACCACAAAUCAACCUAUUCAGACACCAAAAUUUACCCUGUUUCGCCCUCCAAAAACCCUAAACCUAACCCAGAAAAGAAAGAGGAGAGAUACAACGAUUGGACAGAGGAGAACGACAAGGCAUACCUUGCUCUUUGCCGUUCGACUAGUCGUCAACCACCGUCGCGAUCAUGUGCCACCGUCGCCGCCGUCCAGUGAGAAGCCAAGGCGUCGCGGGAGAGAAGGAAGAGGAAGGGGCGAAGUGCAGAGGAAGGGGCGUUGUGCACCUUGGUCUGGUUCGACCCCAAUAACCUUGUUUGACUCGUCAGGCCCACCUGCAGGAUGUGACUCAGCGCGAUCCCAGCCUUUCCCGAGCCACGUAUGCAUUCCCUUGUUUGGAUACGCACUAAAGGUCAAAUAAAUCCGGGAUCAGCGACCACAGGACACGGACUUCAGGGAUUUGGACUUCAGGGUUCGUUUCGGACGCUCACUACCCUCUCAGGGUUCAAAACAGACUUCACUCUAUGCCUGCAUGGGGUGCUGAGUUGACCCAGGUAGAGUAGGUAGGUAGGUACGUGCCAAUAUCCUGAGCCAAUCGAAGCGCGUAGUUAUUGAUCGCUUGCAGUUUUGGGCGUCUCACUCGGCCUGCCUGGCCCUUGGUCACCCCAUCGAACUAAUUUGAAUUUCCAAAGAAGAUCUCCUGAAUCCAAUAUAUUCAGGCCCCUGCCAGUGAUCUUGGAGCAGCUCAGGAGCUAGCCCAUACAUUAUUGAUCCCGUGAUCUCGUAAACAAGUCUUCCUCCCGUUGAAAAACGUUGCCACUCCUCGGUCCCGGGCUAGUAUUAUCGAUCUCUUGCUUCAAUGCAGGUUUUUGCUUGUUGCUGCUUUUGUCAAUUGUACGCUGAUCGAUGACUAAUUGACUACACUAUAUCGUGGUAGUGCAGCUAAUGACUCAAAUUUGGACGCUUCCUAGAGAGUUUUUUUUAGGGUGCAGGUUUGAUAAGACGGGACAGGAGAGUCUCCUGUCAUUGUUAAUGCGGAGUGAUCCUCGAUCCUGCGGGAUCUGCUCUAAGAAAUCGCUCCAGUAAGCAAGUUGGCGUCAACUAUGACGCGGCUCAAGUGGGCUGCGCUCCUUCUGCAUCCCAAGAUGCAAUUUCUUUUCGUACGCGUUCGUGCUUCGUUGUACUCCUACGAUGCAUGCUUCGUUUUAGUCUCGGUACAGUCAUUUCUACGCGUUCGUGCUUGAUUGUUUGUUUCGUAAAGUAAGCUGCUUGCCUCUCGAUAUCGUACGUCGUUCCACGAAUUUGGCGUCUCACUGCCCAAUAUAAUGGCUACAGCUCGCACAUUGGACGUGAUCGUGUAGGUUGUUCAACCGACACACCGUGAGGCCGCGUGACAGGUGAAUUACUAGUGAAUACGUGAUUUACUUUUUGAGAAAUACGUGAUGAUGCUUCUUUUUUAAUGAUAGUAUGUGUCUCAUACAUAUCAUAAAAAUUAAAGUACAAGUCAGUAAAGACCGACAUGACAAAACUGAAAAGAUAGCAGAACAUCUCUGAGUUUGACACCAACGCUCAUCACCUGCCUCCGGCACCACCACAGCAGCCACCGAAGAAAAAAUAAUCACAGAUCACACCUCCUCACCCGAGCUCGACACGGCUCCAUCACUAAUAUGCAGCUUUACGAACCUGCAAGGUGGCUCACCAAAAGUGAAGCCCCUUGCCGUUGAAUGAAUCAGACCGAGGCAACACCCCGGACACACCAUCGAACUUCAGAUCUGGCACCCCACCACGACUAAGACGCCGAAGGAGGAAACCAUACCUGUCAUCCACGAACCACGAACCCAACACACGUUUCGUCUUCCAGAUGUUGUCGAUGGAGACCACAAUCUGCAUCCGCUCCUGGACUACCUACCAAGCUCCGCGCCGACGGUAGAGCAAACGCCGUCGCAACGACGGAGCCCGAGGACACAGGUCACCACGAGGAUGCCGCCGCCGCCACGCCGUCCUUGGUUGAACAGACUAGUUUCCAAAUUCAUCCCCAACCAGAGGACCGAUGGCCUCGUCAGAGAAGGAUCCGAAGAAUAUUUAUUCAACACUGUCAUCGUCGCCGCCGAAGCCAAGACAAUGAACAACCUAAAAACCUAAACUACGAGAGAGUAAAAACAAUCCACACACAUGAAUCCGGCGAUCCCCCUCACCACCGACGACCAAGGUCGCCGGCAGAGGGGAGCCGCCGGAGGACGGCACUGGAAGAUUGGCCUCUGCUGGCGGUGGCUAGGGUUCCAGCCGCCUGCAGGGACGAGAGGAAAAGGAACGACUUCCAAAUACGUGAUGUUGUUGUAGCGUGCUCUCUGCAAUGUCGGGCUGUAGCCGUAGAAAUGGAGUACCUACGACGAGCGCUUAUUGUACCAACAUAAGCUUUUGCAGUUCAUUCUUGCUACAUCUGAGUCGACUGAGACUUAGUCUCAGCUGAUGCUAUAUACAUGAGAUCUUCAUUCAGAUUUUCAUAAUUUUUUGUUUAGUUUUAUCUUUUUAUUACUUACAUGCUAUGUCACUUAGAGACCACAUCCUCUGCAGUUUUAUGUCAUGUCCUAUGCAGGCAGAGAUAUUUCACCGCUAGAGCUAUUUAUCGCCUAUAGCGAGGCAGGGCUCCAGCACGCCUCUGGCGCGACGCUACUAGGCCAAAUUAGCAUUGUAGCUGCGGACCUUGUAGUUUCUUGUCGAAGUUUUUUUUCACUGCGGAGUUUUUGGUUUUCUUCGCUUUUGAUAUAUUUUUUAACAUAUGUCUACACUUUUUGCAUACACAUUGUACAUUUUGUGUAUACAUCGGGAAUAUUUUGUAUACAUGUUUAACUUUCUUCAAAUGCAUGAGUAAAAAAUUUCCAUAUGCAUGUUUUGAUGUCUAUUUUCUUACAUACACAUUGUACAUUUUUGUAUACAUAUAAAAAAAUUUAUACAUGUUUAAUAUUUUCCAAAUACUCCCUCCGACCCAAAUACAUCUAGAACAUCCGUUUGAUUGAGUAGUAAUAUGGAUGACACUAUAUGAUUUUGAACAUGUUUUCGAAUACAUGCCAAAAAAAUUCAAAUACAUGUUGAUUUUUUUUAAUGAUACACAUAUUUUUUAAACCAUGCAAACAAUUUUUAUAUUCAAAGUGUCACAAAUAUAUAUUUGAAACUUAUAAACAUUUCUAAAAUUUAAUUUAUAUAUUUUAUAAUUCCACUAAAUAUUUUUACAAAAUUUAGCAUAUUUUUUAAUGUAUGAAUAUUUCUGAAUAUGACAAACAUUUUUUAAUGGCAUUGACAUUAUCGAAGUUACACUAACAACAAAAUUACACUGUGAUAACAUUUUAAAAAUCUGCAAUGAACGAUUUUCAAAAUUUAAAUAAAAGUAAUUCAGAAUAAUUAUACUAUUCCCGUAUACGAAAAAUAAAUAAGAAAAAAAGCAAGGCAAAACAAAACGAAUGAGCGCUGUAGCAACUAAUGGGCCACCCAACUACCACGUCAUACAGAGGCGAGAUGGAUGGUAUGCUUGCUGCGGGCGAGACAUAUCCGGGGAAGUCCUAUAGGACGCUUUUUGCGUCAAAAUGCUGGGGCUUCGCACAGAGAGUCCAGGUCGUGGCCUUUCUGGGCCGUUUUUUUUCGACAGCAGGGAUUGGCUCCAAAAGAAGGUGCCAUCCCGGGAAAUCGAUCCCAGUAUCCCGUCCUGAAGAGAAGGCGAUACAACCAGUUGAGAUAGUAAGCUUCAGUGAUUACAACACAACACCAACUUCUAAGAACCGAACACCAGCACAGAUGCAAAGAAUUUCUGAAAUUUUGAAAGCAAUUUUUCUAAGGCAGCGCAAAUCAUAAAUGCUGAAAAACAUUUUCUGAAUAUCGUUUACACUUUUCUGAAAUGGGAACAUAUUUUGUAAUUUCAAUUAUUUUUUUGGAAAAGCUAACAUUUUUUCAAACUCCUAAAAAUGGAAACAUCAACAUUUUCAAAA
rnacentral:lncRNA from 1 species